UACGUAGGGGGCUAGCGUUAUCCGGAUUUACUGGGCGUAAAGGGUGCGUAGGCGGUCUUUCAAGUCAGGAGUGAAAGGCUACGGCUCAACCGUAGUAAGCUCUUGAAACUGUAAGACUUGAGUGCAGGAGAGGAGAGUGGAAUUCCUAGUGUAGCGGUGAAAUGCGUAGAGAUCGGGAGGAACACCAGUGGCGAAGGCGGGUAACUGGACUGCAACUGACGCUGAGGCGCGAAAGUGUGGGGAGCAAACAGGAUUAGAUACCCCGGUAGUCCCUGA
rnacentral:rRNA from 1 species